GGGAUGGAGAGACUGGGGUCUUUUGUGCUCUAAUUGGAGUAAAUGUUCCGAUGAUGCAAGUAAAUGUCUGUGGGAGAGAUCGCUUAUCUGUUUGCCUUAUCUUAACACACGCUUAAAAAUAGGAAGAGGAUGAGAAGGUCAGCUCAUCCAGGUGGGGGAAAGGGCAGGGGGGGCAGAAGUCAGAGGGCACGGGCACGAAAGCAAAGCGACUUAGAAGGGGAUGUCCCGAACCUGAAGGAUGUAACUCAGCGUUCCGUUGGUGCCAGAGGGACUCGGAGGCUGAAAUCUUUGCGCUCCAAGGGUUGUGAGGCUGAGCGCUGCAAAACAGUCUCCUUGCAGAGCUCGCGAUGCUACCGGCACCGCACGGUUUGGUGCUUCUUUGCGCAAGGCCUUCCCUAUCAAUAUCACUUCAAGCCCGGGCCUUCUGCCCUGCAAACCAAGCACCGCUUCAGGGCGCUCCUAAAGGAGGAAAAACUCCAACAGCUUCUGAAAUACUCCCUUUACACUUUGAACCAGAAAAAGAUACGGAUGGGAGGAGCCCAGCGAGCUCUUCGUCCGCACGGGAGCUCUGGAAUAAUUCAGGAUCAUAAAACAAGCGGGCUUCCUGAAGGUAGAAGUGACGGUGUAACCACCGCUCUCCCUCUCCCAGCGCACGCCCACUCCUGCAAGCUGUUCCUUUAUACCGGUUGUCUCUUUGCUAAUAAGCUUUGAAAAGCAAGUUCGUUAAUGUGCUGACUGCCAGACUGCGCUUUAACGAGCCUUUCUCAAUGCCUCCUAUCUUAUCUCGAGCUCGAUAAGGACAAAACGUUCCAGUGACAAUGCUAUAAAUCACAUUUUAUUGAUGCAUCUCAAUAUGGAAUAGCCGCUGCGGUUUGAUGGUGUCUGUUUGCUUUGGAAGCGGCCGUGUCGUACAAACACAGCCCCGGGAGGCUUGCUGGUGACGGAGGGGGGUCUGGGGAAGGUUUCUCUUGAGUUAGCUGUGAGGAUAAGUCAUUUCUUAGGGGAAUUCUUCUGCCGGUUGGGUUAAUUAACAUGAUAAUGUGUUGUUUCAUUAGCUACAUCUUUCAUGGGAAAUAUGAGUGCUUCCUUCAUAACAAGGAGAAAACAUUUCACUUGUUUUUCUUUUUUUUCAUGACACUGCUGAGAAUUUAGGGAAAACUUCCUUGAAAGGGGCUAAAAGUGCUACAUAGAAAGACACUGUUUGGCUUUGUUUUAAGUGCUGUUACCAAUCAUGAGCAUCAGUCCUAAUCUUGUAAACCCUUUUUGCACAUCCCUCGACACUUUCAAAACAAGGUUAUGUCGUGGAACAGACUCCACUUGCCAGCAUCUCAGUAGCAUUCUGUGCAGGGAAGGGGAAACAGGGAUGUUUGUCAGCACUGAGAAUAGAAUUUCUAUCUGACAGAUCUAGGAGUGAAUACCAGCAGUCCGAGCUGACCUGUGCUGAGAUUGUUGGGUUUUCGGUCAUGGUACUCCUGGAAGGACGUAGGAAUUCAAGGAUAGGUUGGAUGGGGCCAUGGGCAGCCUGAUCUGGUGUUUGGCACCCUUGGUUGGAGCUGCAUGAUCUUUAAGGCCCCUUCCAACCGAAGCCAUUCUGUGAUUUUAUGAAUCCAGCUGUGGGCCUCUGCUAUUGCUAGCCUGCAUAGCAGGGCAGUGGAAUUCUGGUCGGAUUCCUUGUUAGUUUAUGUGAUUACUCUGUGUGCCAAGACUAGACGAUGGUGGGAUCCAAGCUGCUGUUUUCAAAGAUGAAGAAAUAAUCAGCCCUUGGGGAUUCACCAGCAAAGUCAUGGCUGUGUCCUACAGAAAGUCCUUGCACCUCUUUGUGCCUUAGGUUGCCCCUGUGCAUGUUACAUCCUUCGCUUGGGAAAGCAAUCAGCAACCCACCGACGCUCUGCUGCUGCAGGUGAGGUGACCCAGGUGGGUUUCAGUUAAAUAAUCACAUUUCUCAUUCAACAGGUUGACAAACAGCCCUGCAAUAUUUCCCAGCACCGAACCGGUAGCACCACAUCACGCCAACAUUUGGGGCGCCUGGGAGGAGCACGAGGUGGAGCAGGAGCACCAGGUCGGAGCCCACGCUUCGUAAAUAAUCGAUUCUUUGUUCAAGACAGCAGUGGGGAGGCUGAGUGCC
ensembl:lncRNA